GGUUGAGAACGAUUGCCAUGAGGAAAUAAUGAUGGAUCACAACCUGCAACUGUACUGCUUAGUCGUAAGUGAAGGAAAGGAAGCCCAAGAGAGAUUGAUGGAGAGGACCAAGGUCACACAUCUGAGGAGCAUGUCUGUUUCACAUUAUUGUUAUGGACACUACCUGAAUCUUCCAGGAUCACUUUGUUUCCUGAUUAUAUGUGUGCCCAAGUCACGUGUUUCUAGAACUUUUUAGGAAGGCAUUACUUCAUGCUAAAUGUCCUUAAAACUUAUCAAAUUAAUACCAAUUUAAAUCACAUGCCUGAAAAAUCAUUUCCACAUUUGUAUAAAAUUUUAGAUCCAUUUUAUUAAAUUUAGUAGAUAAAAAUCUAAUUUUAUCACUUAAAUUUCAAAAUAAGAUUUUUUAAAAUGCCUAUCUACAUGUGUUUUCAAAGCUUUGUUACUUGGCAUAAGAUAAACUAGAAAGCUUUAGAAGUAAAGCUGGUAUUGUCUGUUUCACAUUUUUUCACACCAAUAUCCUAAUGAAUGUCUCAUACAGAAAUAAAGAAUAUGACUGUGAGG